rnacentral:rRNA from 1 species
UGGGUGACCUGCCCUUAGCUCUGGGAUAAGCCUGGGAAACUGGGUCUAAUACCGGAUAUGACUCCAUGACGCAUGUUGUGGGGUGGAAAGCCUUGUGCGGCUAGGGAUGGGCCCGCGGCCACCAGCUUGUUGGUGGGGUGAUGGCCUACCAAGGCGACGAUGGGUAGCUGGUCUGAGAGGACGACCAGCCACACUGGGACUGAGACACGGCCCAG